CCUACGGGCGGCAGCAGUAGGGAAUCUUCCACAAUGGGCGCAAGCCUGAUGGAGCAACACCGCGUGAGUGAAGAAGGGUUUCGGCUCGUAAAGCUCUGUUGUUGGAGAAGAACGUGCGUGAGAGUAACUGUUCACGCAGUGACGGUAUCCAACCAGAAAGUCACGGCUAACCACGUGCCAGCAGCCGCGGUAAUACGUAGGUGGCAAGCGUUAUCCGGAUUUAUUGGGCGUAAAGCGAGCGCAGGCGGUUGCUUAGGUCUGAUGUGAAAGCCUUCGGCUUAACCGAAGAAGUGCAUCGGAAACCGGGCAACUUGAGUGCAGAAGAGGACAGUGGAACUCCAUGUGUAGCGGUGGAAUGCGUAGAUAUAUGGAAGAACACCAGUGGCGAAGGCGGCUGUCUGGUCUGCAACUGACGCUGAGGCUCGAAAGCAUGGGUAGCGAACAGGAUUAGAUACCCGGGUAGUC
rnacentral:rRNA from 1 species